ACUAUCGGUCAGACUCUCCUCUCCAAUACCCUGGCGUAGGCCUUACCAGGGAGGCUGAGGAGUGUGAUCCCCCUGUAGUUGGAACACCACCCCAGUCUUUCAGUUUGAAUUUUCGUCGAAACUCCAUUUCAAAAUGCUGUGCAGAAAUAUUUAUGAUGCAAUAUGCACGGCUGCGGCGGAAUACUUCUAAUCUGUGGAAGCACCUGCAGUGUUUCACCUACCACUAUUCAAGGGGGGCACCCCGCCCUACCAACCAGACCGCCGUGCCCCCAAGAGGAUCACAGCAUGUAGUAAUAGUUUAACAGUUAAUGUCAUUCGUUUUAUUGGAUCACGUCGUGAAGGAUUUCUGUCCCUGUGUUGUCACUACUCUUCUUUCUAUGGCCAAACAUGGCAAAAGCUGGACGAAAACACACUCAUCAUACUCUGUGUCACCAACGGUGACACUGACACACUGAGUUAGGUGCACUCGAACGGAGGUGAACACAUGCUCCUGACAGCGGACAGAAAGCCAUGCCGCUAAAACCUAGAAAGCACGCAAGGAUAUCUGUGGUUUUAAAAAGCGGCAAAUUUAGUUUUGAUGGCAGCACUUCAUCUCCUGCGAGCUAACUCUCCUACUCUUGGUACAUUUGGCGAAGAUAGAAGUAAACAAAAUAGACCAAGUGAUUCAUGCCCUGACUCUGACACACAGCUAAAGUCCAGUCUCCACCAAAUAAAAGUUUUUUACCUAGUUUCAAACCAUUAAAAUGAAUUUAAUGGUUUGAAACUGAAUUCCUUGGCUUUUAAACUGAAUUUGUUUGCUUUGAAAAUUGCUUUGCUAUGUAUUGAAAAUUCCAUUUGAUAACUUUCAUUUUCUAUUCCAAAAUUCAAUUCCAGUUCCAAAAUUCCGUUUUUUGUGUCACACAUCAAAGUCCUUGAAACCACAGAUUAAUUAAACACAGAAUUACUGAUUCACGGAUGUCAUUCACUAUUGCUGUGUUCAAAUUCAGAUGCGACUUUUAUGGCCAUACAGUGAAGUAAAAACGAAUGCUGUCAGAGAGGUGCUGAUUAUAUUGGUUCAGACACUUUUGGUUUGUUUUACAAGCCCUGCUACUGCAACACAUUGAGGGGCAGAGAAGAAAGAGUGCUUGGAGACCAGCUGCUUUACACCAGCUCUCGCCUCCGUAGUGGGAUCCUAUUCACGUGAUAGAAGAUACACUCUGCCUAGGGAUUUUGUCUUUAACUGUCUCUUUCAAGGAUAAUGCCAGUGAGCUAUUGCUGCAGGUAUUUACUCUUAAUUUUCUUAUCCCAUUGAUACUACUACUGGCUCAGUGCUUUCUUGUUUUAUUGUGUUUCUUAGAUGGAACUACUAAUGGUAUUAGUGAUGUCACUAACGGUGUGUGCUGUAUUCUUUCCCAAAUAAACUACUCCUGGACUGGUGCUUCUGUGUUUUUUUUUUCUGUUUACUUUCUGCCCUCUAAAGCUAGCCAAUCACAGCAGAUGGCCACUUAUACUGAGCAUGGUUCUACUAGAGGUUUUUCUUGUUAAUAUGGAGUCCUUACUUACCACUGUAGCUACAUGCUUAGAACUCUCUGUUUUAUCAUCUGCCUUGAGAUGACAUUUGCUCUGAACUGGUGCUAUAUUCCUAAAAUUAAUAAAAUUGAAUUGAAUUGAAAUCUAACCUUAAUCGUAAAAAAGUUAGACCACUGAUUUUACUAAACAAAUAUUAAUUUAAAGUGAAAAAGUUUGAAAAAUAACAUACACCAUAAUUACUAGAUAUGUACAAAAUAUGAAAAACCUUAGAACUUAAAAGUUUGAGAGGGAAGAAUUAAGCCAUGUGUGGGUUGCUGUUUUGUUUUUAAAAUCCCAGUGUGUUAUGUAAAAGUACUGCAUGUGCAUUCUAAUAUAUCUGCUUAGCAAUUUAGUGUAUGCUAAAUAGUUGUGUAAAGAAAUUGUAAUAGCAUUAAAAAAAUACUAAUACCUCAACUGACUCUCACAGUCAAUUGAGUUAUUGUAAAUCAAGUUUAAAAACAAGAAUAAACUCUAGAAAUCUGUUUAUUGCAUUUACUUAGCAGAAUGCACACAAAAGCAUGGAUCCAAAAUAUUAUGCACUCUAUGAAAUAUAAUCAAUUGUAUACAACUUUCUAAAUGCACAGAAGUUGUUUUGACAAUAGAUGACACUACAAAGUGACUGCAACAUGACCAAAGUUGGUGUCUAUACAAAACAAAGUUUCAAAAUGAAAUUAAAUAUAGAGGAUUACUUACUGUAAAGAUGUAAAAAUGACAGGAAUAAGAAACCAGUUUAAAAUACACAAAGUAAAUAAAUGUUUAUUGUCAGUGACAUAGAAAUUUAGCAGAUACAAUUUUUCUUAAAUGAAGCGACAGCAAUCAGUACACACAGCAUUUCAAAGAAUUUCCAAAACGAUUGUCGUUGCAAUUAUACUAUGUACAAGAAUGCGAAUCUUCAGAAUGUUGUCAAAAUUAUACUGCAAAAACAGAAUUCUGCACUGAGUACUAUUGAAGCAUAGAAAAAAACAUCCUUGUACUGAUACAAAACUGAUAACUGAUUAAAAUUGUGCUUGAGUGUAUAAAAAGAAUUUGUCUACAAAACAACUAUAAUGUUUUUUCUUUUCAAUAGACCCUGGUUACGACUAUGCAACAACCAUUCAAUAAUAAUAAAACAAAAACAUUUAAAAGAAUAAAGUAACUUGUAAUGACCUCUGCUUUUGUGUGAUGCAAUAGAUUAAUAAAUCUGGACUAUGUACAAAACAAUAUUCAUUAUUAAUAGUAUACAUUUAUCUUAUUUACAGUUUGAAGAAUUUUUUAACAAUCUGAUGCACUCCAAUUUCAUUUUCUUUAAAAAAGUCAUUUAUAGUUAAACAGAGAUUACCAUGCAUAUUCUAUUAAAUUUAAUAGAGCCAUAGUUUGAAAUGUAUACUGCUUUAGGAGAUUGUGUUUGAGUGCAUAUUAGAGGGUUUAAAUGAUCUUACUAUUACUUUUUUGGUGAUAGCUCAAGUCUUGGAAACCUGAAACCACCUUUUUGAUCCACUGUCAAUGCUUGAGGAUGAC